GAUUCAGAAUCCAGGGCUACAGGAGGUAAUAAGGCCACUGGAAGGGCCUGCCUCUCCUUCUCAGCUCCCUGCCACCCCCACCCCAUGUGUGGGUCUCCAUUCUGAGAUUUCCAUUCAGG
rnacentral:lncRNA from 1 species